rnacentral:lncRNA from 1 species
GUUUUUGUUUUCCUGCAGCUUUUUUCGUGAAUUCCCCUGUGAGCGAGAUAGCGUGCUUUCUUGUAUCUCUAUGUACUGAUCAUACUUUACUUCCAUAUUAUGAGUUUGCUUUCCAUUCAAUUGCGAUGAUAAGGUAUCUUUCCACCCCUCUUCUACCGUAUGGGUAUCAUCUGAACCUUCUUCUUCCUGCCCCCGUUCGACUUCUUUUAAUCCAUACUUGUUUAAUAACUUUCCUGAUUUUCUCUCGCCUUUGGGUUGUCAUCCGUUUGCCGAUCAGGGCAUUAGUGUUUUCUUUCAAAGUCCGCUUGACGAUUACUCCUUCCCUACGGACACGAGAACCGUUCGACAUCUGUUUCAUCCCCUCCGAUCAGAUCGUUCGGCUGGCAGGUACAAUUUUACCAACUUCAAUAUUCAUAAGGCUUUCCUACUAACCCUUCUUUGCCGGUUAUGAUGGUUGGUUUCUGUUCAGGUAUGUGCCCUACGGCUUUUCUGUUCUUCUGACUACACUGGAUAACCGUUCGACAUCUGUUUCAUCCCCUCCGAUCAGAUCGUUCGGCUGGCAGGUACAAUUUUACCAACUUCAAUAUUCAUAAGGCUUUCCUACUAACCCUUCUUUGCCGGUUAUGAUGGUUGGUUUCUGUUCAGGUAUGUGCCCUACGGCUUUUCUGUUCUUCUGACUACACUGGAUACUCGAGAUGAACUUGGUGAUCUGCGGGCUGGGCUAUUAAGAACGGGUUGGACGGUCUUAUUUGCAAAGAGGUACGGCCGUCUUUGGUACCGCACGACUUAUCUGAUCAUAUUUUCGUAAUAAAUCCUGUAAUAGAUGAUUCAUGGUAGCUUGAAAGGUUGAGAGAGCGUUAGUAAGCCCAAAGGGCAUUACUUAUCUGGUGUGUACGGAACGUUGAGAAUUCGUAAUGGCCAUGGUGUGUAUGGAACGUUGUUUUCUCUAUGUCUUUUUUUGCGAUUCUUAUCUGGCGGUACCCGACCCUCAAGUCAAGCUUAGAAAAAAUAGUCGCUUCGUUCACUUCAUCUAGGAGCUCAUCCAUUGUUGGUAUCGGGAAACGGUCUCGAAUAAUGGCUGAGUUUAAUGCCCGAUAAUCUACACAGAAUCUCCAAGUGCCAUCUUUCUUCCGGACUAAUAAAACUGGUGAUGAAUAUGGGCUUGUACUAUGACGUAUUAAUCCUUGGCCCAACAUUUCUUUGGUCAAUCUUUCAACUUAUGACUUUUGAAAAUGCGGGUACCUAUACGGGUGAACGAUAUUAAUUGGUUUGGUCCCUGGGUUCAAUACAAUGUGGUGAUUGAAGGGUCUCCAUGGUGGAAGUCUCGUCGACUCUGGCAUUAUUGCGGUGAAUUUUUGGAAGAUAUUUUGCAAUUCAGUCUUCGGAGCUUGUUCCCUUGGUUCUUUAUUGGGCUCGGCCCGGAGUUGGCAGAAAUAUGCUAUUUCUUCAACGGCCCCCAAGGUCCAUUGAAAGUACAUAUAAGUCUCCAUUCAACGUUACUUCUUGAAUAGUCAGUGGCACCUGUCGGACUACCUCCCGACACACCAAAUAUUCUCCACUUCCGAUGAACACCUUAAAUUCCCGUAGAGAUAGAAGCCCCACUCCCAAUUUAUAAGCCACCGAGUCUUGGAUAAAAUUGUGCGUCGAUCCACUAUCGAUUAGCACAGAAAGUUCUCGUCCCCGGAUAGACCCCCGCAAUCUUAACGUCCUCGGAUUGAAGGUACCCGACAGAGCUUGGAGGCUGAUCUCUGUCGCCCCUUCUUCUGCCACCACCGGUUCAGCUUGAUCUUCCUUGUGUUGUUCGUCACACAUUUCGAUCAAGCAGCCUUGGUCCAUAUCCAUACGAAAUAAACACCCUUUGCAACGGUGGCCGGGGGCGUAGGCUUCAUCACAAUUGAAGCAUAGUCCUUUCGCCGUGCGUAUUUGCCGUUCCUCUACUGUCAAGGUCUUUCUUACAAUAGGCACUGCUCUGGAAGUGUCCAGAGGUGUUUUGAGUAAAGGAACCGAACUUGACGAUGCCGCCCUUGCGGAAAGGUGUACGCCAUGAUAGAUGUCGCCGUCCUGGGUGAGCCUCAUAAACUUUGGCUGCAGAAAACGCCUGCCUCAACGAGAUAGGUUUCAAGAUUUUCAAUUCACUUUUGAGUUCUGGUUUCAGUUCUCCUACAAAGUAAGUUAUUAGGGCCUGCUCCGGUUACUCCUCCAUGUCGUUCAACAACUCCUCAAAUUUCUCCAGAUAGACAGCUAACGUCGAUGUUUAUUGUAGGCGAGUUAACUCUUCUAAUUUAUUUUCGUAUUCGGCCAUUCUGAAUCGCUCGCGUAAGUCCUCCACAAAUUUUGCCCAAGUUGAGAUUAGUUUGUUUUGCCUCAUCCCCCGAAUCCAGCUCAGAGCUUUGCCUGACAUGAGGAGACCUGCGAUUUGAACCUUCGAAUCUUCCCCAAUGCCAUGAAACGAGAAAUACUCAUCCGCUUGGUAUAGCCAGCCCUCUGGAUCUUCUCCUGUAAAUCGUGGGAAAUCUAAUUUGAUCGCGCGUUUCACAUUCGCUGGUUCUCCUAUCGCGUCGUAUGGGAAAUUUCUUUGUUCACCGCUAGUUAAUUUGAGUAUUGUUUCUGCUAUGGCUGCAAUCGCCGCGUCCUAGCGUAAUGUGACUUCUGUUUGACGUGUUGUCUACUCAUCAAUGAUCGCUCCUAACACUUGCCUCAUUUCGUCCAUUGAUUUUUCUUUAUUUUCUUUCGUGUUGUUCAUGAUUUUGUUGAUUGCGAAUUAAAUCCCUGUAGCUCCUGUGCAAGAGGACAGUGAAAGCACCAAUGUAACACUCCUGAUCGGAGGUUACGACGUGAUCGGCGACGUUCUGGAGGUGGACGGAGAUAGAAGACAGAUUUCUCCCGAAGGAGCCGGAGGUGUGGGAAGAGAUUUCUCCCGAAGGAUCCGGAGGGAGAAGAUUUUAGAGUUAUUUUAAUUCUGGAUGCAGAGCCAUCCCUUCUCUUAUUUAAAGAAAUAAUCAAGUAUCGGGCUACAACAACCCAAUUAAUUUUCCCCUAAAAGCAAAGAGGAAUAUUCUAUGUGGAAAAGCCACUUUAACGCUAAUAAUACACAUAAUGGGGAUUGCGCACGUUCCGUCUGUUUCUGACCAGUCUGGUUGGCUGACGUCCGUCCAUCGUGGGUGGCUCACCGUUCGUGGUUGUUGCAGGUUCGGCGCUGUUACUUCCUCAGAGGCCUCGAUGAACUCUAAUUCGUUCUUCAGUCAGCUAACUACUUGGUCGAUAUCUAAAUCUCUUGUUACACCAAUAUCGUCCAUCAGACCAUGCAUCUUCUUCCACUGUGACCACCACAUCGAUCUUAGCUUCUCUCCCCCCUCACCUGUAGCCGUAGGUCGCCGUCUCAGCUAUGGUCAUCGUCGCCCACUUUCUGCAUUCUCAAUUCUUUUUCGAUCUCAUUUUCUUAUAUAGUCGUUCUUUUGCUUCAAUUGCAUCUUCUCCGGCAUCGGCCAAAAUCUUUUUUUUUUUGGGGGAAACGGAGAGGUUACAUCGUCGGAUCCUAAAAGACAGUCAGGAAUAUGAAGAUGAUUUGUUGAAAAAGUUAGAACAAGGCGAAUAUGAAGAUGCACGAGACUAUGAUUUUUGAAUUCAGUGAGUUAGUCUUGCAAGUGCUUCACUGAAA